UACGAACUGUGCGACCGUUAUUCGGCAUCACUGGGCUUACAGGGUGCGUAGGCGUCUUUUCAAGUCAGGUGUGAAAGCCCCCGGCUCAACCGGGGAAUUGCGCUUGAAACUGGAGAGCUCGAGUCAGCUAGAGGUGCACGGAACUUCCAGUGGAGCGGUGAAAUGUGUUGAUAUUGGAAGGAACACCGGAGGCGAAAGCGGUGCACUGGGGCUGGUCUGACGCUGAGGCACGAAAGCCAGGGGAGCGAACGGG
rnacentral:rRNA from 1 species